CCUACGGGGGGCAGCAGUGAGGAGUAUUGGUCAAUGGGCGAGAGCCUGAACCAGCCAAGUCGCGUGAAGGAUGACGGCCCUACGGGUUGUAAACUUCUUUUGUCAGGGAGUAAUUGGGUCCACGCGUGGGCUUUGCGAGAGUACCUGAAGAAAAAGCAUCGGCUAAUACCGUGCCAGCAGCCGCGGUAAUACGGGGGAUGCGAGCGUAACCCGGUUUUAUUGGGUUAAAGGGGUGCGUGGGCGGAAUAUCAAGUCAGGGGUAAAGAUUCGGGGCUCAACCCCGUCGUGCCGUUGAAACUGAUGUUCUUGAGUGGGCGAGAGGUAUGCGGAAUGCGUGGUGUAGCGGUGAAAUGCAUAGAUAUCACGCAGAACUCCGAUUGCGAAGGCAGCAUACCGGCGCCCAACUGACGCUGAAGCACGAAAGCGUGGGUAUCGAACAGGAUUAGAUACCCGGGUAGUC
rnacentral:rRNA from 1 species